rnacentral:misc_RNA from 1 species
GAUGAAGAACGCAGUGAAAUGCGAUAAGUAAUGUGAAUUGCAGAACUCAGUGAAUCAUCGAAUCUUUGAACGCACAUUGCGCCCACUGGUAUUCCGGUGGGCAUGCCUGUUCGAGCGUCAUUAUCCUCCCUCAAACCUCGGGUUUGGUGUUGGACCCAAGUUGUGUGAACAACUGGUCUCAAAGACAAUGACGGCGUCCGUGGGACCCUCGGUGCAACGAGCUUUUAGGAGCACGCGUCGAGUUUCAAGGACCUUCCGGGCCGGUCUCCUUUACUAUUUUUACAAGGUUGACCUCGGAUCAGGUAGGAAUACCCGCUGAACUUAAGCAUAUCAAUAAGCGGAGGA